GCCUGGGUGGCUCAGUCAGUUAAGCAUCUGACUUCAGCUCAGGUCAUGAUCUUGCAGUUUGUGGGUUCAAGCCCCACUCUGGGCU
rnacentral:tRNA from 1 species